rnacentral:tRNA from 1 species
GGGUCCGUAGCUCAGUUUGGACAGAGCACUUCACUCCUAAUGAAGGGGUCGAGGGUUCAAAUCCCUCCGGAUCCG